AAUACAGUCAAGUAAAAGAACAUCUAGGUGUCUUUUUACUUGAUUGUCUAGGUGGCUAUAGAGAGAGGGAAACGCCUGGCUCCAUUCCGAACCCAGAAGCUAAGCCUCUCAUCGCUGAUAAUACUGAUCCUUGCAGGAUUGGAAACGUAGGUCGCUGCCUAGUUGAUCAAUUUUACUUUCUCUUCUUUACUUAAUCAAUCCAAUUU
rnacentral:rRNA from 1 species